AUUAGCCAUUGAAGGGAGUAACGUUAUGUAUCCAUAAUUUCUGCCUUUCCAGGAUAUGUUUACCUCUAUAUAUAUUUUUUCAAUAAGUGUUUUGUGCAUUGUGAGUAAGCCAUCUCUUCUAGGGGAAUGUAAAAGAAUUUUUCUAUGUGAAACCCUGCUGGCAGAAUUUUAUAGUAUUGUAUAAUACCUCCGUUUCUUUAUGUUCUUAAAAUUUUCCGUUUUUGUCUUUCUCAUAAUGUUUUUAACAUAUUUACUUUAUUCUGAGUAUGGCAAUGUCUUUUACUACCUUACCCGUCUUUUCUAACAAUAUGUACCCUUUCCACUCAAUUUCUUCUAUAUCCACCUCUCUUCUUACACCUACCACCUUUGUACACUCUUUAUCUUACAUUUUUCACCUUUUUCAUACACCCACCCACCUUUCACCCACACUCUCUCCUUUACCUUUAUACAUGUGCAAACAGCAAAUGAUAAGAACAUUAUGAAACAGAAGUAGUGUUAUUAAUGAUAAUUGUGACCAAGCUGUAUUGCGCAAGAGAUCCAGCCAUCUCCAAUUCUCAGCUUGAUGAACUUUUAUAAGCUUAUGAAUUUGCAUUUGCCUUGAUCCUUUGACUUAAGGUCUGGUUAUUUACAUACUUGAUCUAUUCCCUUAUCUAUCAAAUCUAAUUGCUUGUUAGUAAUUAGGAGGCCAGAGGACUUGAUGCAGGACCGCGACUUGUGAAGAAGUUGAUUGGAUUUGGAGAUAAACAGACUUCAAGAAUAGUAGCUCAAAUUGCUGAUGAAGAAGUUGCACAUGUUGCUGUUGGAGUAUAUUGGUUCUUCUCUGUUUGUCAAAAGAUGGGGCGAGUCCCUUGUCCACUUUCAAAGAAUUGCUAAAGGAUUAUGAUAUAGAAGUUAAAGGACCCUUCAAUUAUUCAGCUCGAGAUGAGGCUGGCCUGCCCCGCCAUUGGUAUGAUGCAUCAACUGAUGAUCAAAGCAAAGAGCAGCUUUCUGAGGUUUAUGAAAGACUUGCUCAUAUAAUUGAGAUGGAGAAAGAAAACGCCAGUUCAAGCAGCCACCCUAGGUGAUCCGGGAUUGUAAACCAGCUUGUGGAACUUUUCCACCCCAUUUUUCUCUUAAGCUAACUUGCGACUGUCAUUUGGCUAAUUCUUAUAACACCAUAUGUAACCUAUGAUCUAAAAAGUAUAUUCCGUGUUCUAACUUGUAAAGAUCAAUCUGUUUCUCUUUUAAGACAGUUGGAUGCAAGAUCUACUCCACGAAUAGGUGGUACAAACAUAGACGAUAUCAUCAAAACCUCUCUUUUCGUACCACUAGGGUUCCCUAUGUUGGUUUGGACGUUGGUGGAUGUAGGCUGCAUAAGUUUAGAGCUGAAAUAUUUGUAAAUUUUUUUUUAUGUAGUUAUUAGUGUAAUUUGUUGUCUACCACAUGAAAAUAUGAUGCUUUCCUUUCCUCCGCGGGAUUUUUGUUAAUGAGUUAUUUUUUGGGCAUGUGCUGCACAUGCUGAGGCUAUUUCGGUUGUUGGUUAGUUGAUUUGACUCAACAAACAAAUCGGGGCAAUGCUGAAAU